rnacentral:rRNA from 1 species
GAUGAACGCUGGCGGCGUGCCUAAUACAUGCAAGUCGAGCGAACGGACGAGAAGCUUGCUUCUCUGAUGUUAGCGGCGGACGGGUGAGUAACACGUGUAUAACCUACCUAUCAGACUGGGAUCACUUCGGGAAACCGGAGCUAAUACCGGAUAAUAUUUUGAACCGCAUUGUUCAAAAGUGAAAGACGGUGUUGCUGUCACUUAUAGAUGGUUCCGCGCUGCAUUAGCUAGUUGGUAAGGUAACGGCUUACCAAGGCAACGAUGCAUAGCCGACCGGAGAGGGUGAUAGGCCACACUGGAACUGAAACAGGGUCCAGACUACUACGGGAGGCAGCAGUAGGGAAUCUUCCGCAGUGGGCGGAAGCCUGACAGAGCAGCGCCGCGUGAGUGAUGAAGGUCUUCGGAUCGUAAAACUCUGUUAUUAGGGAAGAACAUAUGUGUAAGUAACUGUGCACAUCUUGACGGUACCUAAUCAGAAAGCCACGGCUAACUACGUG